GACUUCGCUUUCAACUUCCAUUUCCCCCAAGGGAAUGUCAUUAUUAUCGUUGGCACCUCUAAUCGCUCUCCCUGCACCUUCUAAUCGGGUAAGUAAAGAAUCAUUCAUACAGUUGGUUGAAUACACAUACCUAAUAUAAAAGCUAUACCAUUCCUGAUAAAUUUGGGCAUCCUUUUGAGAGCACCUGGACAUUCUGAUACGAUUAGAAUAAAUUACAGGAAUAUUAAACAAACCCAUUUCGUAAAAGAAAAGAAAAUUGCCUAUAACAAAGAGUGAAGAGGCUACAAUUUCGUAGCCUGUCCCGUCGAUAUGUUUGUCAAAUAAAUGCAUCAAACCUUUCGUUACAAUAACGACACAACUUUGUACACCUAGAACUUGAAAAAACCCAGAAAACAUAUGCUUAAGUGUCCAGAAUGGAAGACGAACUGCGUGUUAGCGGUCAGUAAUGGUAACUACAUAACUUCACAUACCAUAUAAUAAAAAUAAAAGUAAAGCAGCUGAAAUACUGCAUGUAGAACAGAUGAGAGUCUUGUCUAAGUUCACAUUACCGAAUUUGACGCAACCAAAGAGUACAAAACAAAUGACUACCCAUAAUAACCAGAUUAUUACAACCCAUUUUUCCCUUGAGUUGUACAAGCCGACCGCAGUUACCUUGACACAUUGUGCCACUGCCUGGUCCAAGUUUCAAAGAAGCCUAAUGAGUUAGUGAAUGAACGUAAGAAUUGACCUAUCGUGUCACUUACACCAUAAAGAAAUAAAAAUCAUCAGGCAAAUAGCACACCACACUCCAAAAUAUACCCAUUCAUCUUUGCCAUAAUCUUUAAAGAGAGCGUCCUUAUACGUUAGAUAACAAAUUGCGGGUACGUUUAGCACAAAGAUUGAAAUGAAUGAUAAAAAUUCUUUUUUCAACGGAGAGGUAGAAGAAUUAUCUGCCGUCCCGGAAGAAUGGUUUUCUCUAUGUGUGUUAGGAGGAUUGCUUACACGUGCGUGAUCUGUUUAACUUAAUAUGAUUGAAAUACUUUAGUAAAGAAAGAACAUGUUUUAAAAUGUGUGCAUUGCAUGGCCGAUUGUAAACAAUGACCAAAGCAUGCAAUUUGACACGAUGGCAAGUUUCAACUUUCAAUUGAGUAAUUCCUUUCUUAUUAUCUACAAUUCUUACCUGAAUAUGGAGGUAGUGUGCUCUCUUCAUCCGAAUUAUAUUCUGGAAGUAGGCCUUUUUCCAAAUCAAUUUCAUGUCCUGUCUUCAAUUCAUCUUCUUCAUCUAUAGAACUUUCCAAGGAAGCGUAAUUAUUCUUCAUAAUAAUAAUAUC